rnacentral:rRNA from 1 species
UACGGAGGGUGCAAGCGUUAAUCGGAAUUACUGGGCGUAAAGCGUGCGUAGGUGGUUCGUUAAGUCCGUUGUGAAAGCCCCCGAGCUCAACUUGGGAAUUGCAGUGGAUACUGGCGAGCUGGAGUGCGGUAGAGGAAGGUGGAAUUCCCGGUGUAGCGGUGAAAAUGCGUAGAGAUCGGGAGGAACACCAGUGGCGAAGGCGGCCUUCUGGACCAGCACUGACACUCAAGCACGAAAGCGUGGGGAGCAAACAGG